rnacentral:rRNA from 1 species
CCUACGGGAGGCAGCAGUGGGGAAUAUUGGGCAAUGGGCGCAAGCCUGACCCAGCAACGCCGCGUGAAGGAAGAAGGCUUUCGGGUUGUAAACCUCUUUUGACAGGGACGAAACAAGUGACGGUACCUGACUAAUAAGCCACGGCUAACUACGUGCCAGCAGCCGCGGGAAUACGUAGGUGGCAAGCGUUAUCCGGAUUUACUGGGUGUAAAGGGCGCGUAGGCGGGAUUGCAAGUCAGAUGUGAAAGCCAGGGGCUCAACCUUUGGCCUGCAAUUGAUACUGUAGUUCUUGAGUACAGGAGAGGCAGGCGGAAUUCCUGGUGUAGCGGUGAAAUGCGUAGAUAUUAGGAGGAACACCAGUGGCGAAGGCGGCCUGCUGGACUGCAACUGACGCUGAGGCGCGAAAGCGUGGGGAGCAAACAGGAUUAGAUACCCGGGUAGUC